rnacentral:misc_RNA from 1 species
CUUUUAUUCCAAGACAAACUCUAUUACACCAAAAACCAAGAAAUCAGAAUGCACAAGUGAAUUAUAUUAUCAAUCAGGUUAAGGAAGAAUACAAAUACAUAGUAUAAUCCGAUGGCUAACUGAUGGAUGAAUGAAAAUCAUAAAUGGAAUACAAAAUAGGGAACUAAUUAGUCCCUUACAGAAUACAAAAACCAUAUGAUAUUUUCUGCCCCAUCACUUCUUAUCAGCAAGCCGUUUGACUAUGCUCAGCUCAUUUGAUUUCUUUACUGUGCUGCUCUUCCCUGAUCGCCUUUUACUUGAAGUAGAUUCUAGGCAUACGAUCCUGCUGCUCCUUGUACAGUAAAGCAGCCUGCUCUUAAAGAGUGAUAAAUUUCAAAAAUAUCAUUUUGGAAUUUGGACUUCCUCACCUAUAAAAUUCCACAUGACCGGCAAUCUCCCUACACAACAGCUUGGAUUCACUGGCUAACUUUGUGCUCUUAAAAAUCACUAGUCCUGUCUGUCUGUGAGUGGGUGUUGGCUUAUAUGAUUUUGCCUCCUCUUCCAUCCCAAGUGAUAGGGCUUCCCUGGCAGGUAUCACAUUCCCCCACCAAAAUUCCCAUAAAAUCUCCCGUAUUAGCUCCCAAUAAGCACGGUCCCUAUGUACUCGAAAUAUUGUGCUUCCAUUUGGUGUCCAGCAAUACAAAUCUGCCCAUUCUCUAUUCAUUAUUUCCAAUUGCCCCUGAACUUGAGGCAUGCAAUAGAAAGGCAUAGCUGACCAGGGCAGACCCAUCUGUGGCUUCCCCUUGUUAUAGGGACACUUAACUUCCAGGAUACCACCUCCAGAAGAGCAAUCAAGAAGACCAUCUGGGGAAGCACCAAGCCAAUCAAAUUGUUGCGCUGAAUGGACUGCAAAUCCCAAAUGACCAACUUCACGGCCUGUGAUGCUUUUAUAACUGUCUAUAGCUGCUGCUUCAUUGAGCACACCCCAUUCCAUGGCUCUCUUAGCAGCUUCAGUGAUAUGUAUCUCAGGUGCAAAAACCUUCUCAUUCCACAGCUGAAACCGUCGGUUUCCCUUCCAAAAACCCAAGGCAGUACUGAAGGUGCUUGCGGUCAGUUUGUCCCUCCUCAGCGCAAACCAUUCUUCUGAACGUUGGGGUGCAUCAGAAUGUGUGAUGCAGGCGGCUAAUGCUAGUGAUGAGGGGGGACGGACAAUGAGAGAGUCUGUUGAAGAGAUCAAAGGUGCAGAGCAGGUGGAUAAGGUUCUGAAAAAUCCACCUCCAUACCUUCUCCU